GACAGAGGGUGCAAACGUUGCUCGGAAUUACUGGGCGUAAAGCGCGUGUAGGCGGGCCCCCAAGUCGGACGUGAAAGCCCUGAGCUCAACUCAGGAACUGCAUCCGAAACUGAGGGCCUGGAGUAGUGGAGAGGGAAGCAGAAUUCCUGGUGUAGAGGUGAAAUUCGUAGAUAUCAGGAGGAACACCGGUGGCGAAGGCGGCUUCCUGGACGCUUACUGACGCUGAGACGCGAAAGCGUGGGGAGCAAACAGG
rnacentral:rRNA from 1 species